GACAGAGGAGCCAAGCGUUGUCCGGAUUGACUGGGCGUAAAGCGCGCGUAGGCGGUUACUCAAGUCGGAUGUGAAAGCCCUCGGCUUAACUGAGGAAGUGCACCCGAAACUGAGUAGCUAGAGUACCAAAGAGGGUCGCGGAAUUCCCGGUGUAGAGGUGAAAUUCGUAGAUAUCGGGAGGAACACCGGUGGCGAAGGCGGCGACCUGGGUGGAUACUGACGCUGAGGCGCGAAAGCGUGGGGAGCAAACAGG
rnacentral:rRNA from 1 species